AAUGAACGCUGGCGGCGCGCCUAAUACAUGCAAGUCGAGCGAGAAGACGUAGCAAUACGUUUGUAAAGCGGCGAACGGGUGAGGAAUACGAUGGGUAACCUACCCUCGAGUGGGGAACAACUAGCCGAAAGGUUAGCUAAUACCGCGUACGCUUCUUGGACUUCGGUUCAGGGAGGAAAGCGAUGCCGAGGGUAUCGCGCUCUUGGAUGGGCUCAUGUCCUAUCAGCCUUGUUGGGAGGUAACGGCUCACCAAGGCUUCGACGGGUAGCU
rnacentral:rRNA from 1 species